rnacentral:rRNA from 1 species
CCUACGGGAGGCAGCAGUGGGGAAUAUUGGACAAUGGGCGAAAGCCUGAUCCAGCAAUGCCGCGUGAGUGAUGAAGGCCUUCGGGUCGUAAAGCUCUUUUACCAGGGAUGAUAAUGACAGUACCCGGAGAAUAAGCUCCGGCUAACUCCGUGCCAGCAGCCGCGGUAAUACGGAGGGAGCUAGCGUUGUUCGGAAUUACUGGGCGUAAAGAGUACGUAGGCGGUUAUUCAAGUCAGAGGUGAAAGCCCGGGGCUCAACCCCGGAACUGCCUUUGAAACUAGAUAACUAGAGUCUUGGAGAGGUUAGUGGAAUUCCGAGUGUAGAGGUGAAAUUCGUAGAUAUUCGGAAGAACACCAGUGGCGAAGGCGACUAACUGGACAAGUACUGACGCUGAGGUACGAAAGCGUGGGGAGCAAACAGGAUUAGAUACCCUGGUAGUCCACGCCGUAAACGAUGAUAACUAGUUGUUCGGUCACUUGGUGACUGAGUGACGCAGCUAACGCAUUAAGUUAUCCGCCUGGGGAGUACGGUCGCAAGAUUAAAACCUUAAAGGAAUUGACGGCNGAGANGCGAGACGACACGAGGAGAG